GGGUGUCGUCAUCGCAUGCAGCGGUGCGGCAGGUUCAUGCGAUGGUCGGGCCGCCUCG
rnacentral:ncRNA from 18 species